AUUUUGACUCCUAAAAUCUUGUCGUGUUGUGGACAAGAAACAUGUCAGACUACACGUUGCUUCCUGAACAGUCAUCGAGUACCGUCUUUAACGACGCGCGUGAUGUCAUCGAGAAGGCGAAACUAGCGACGGUGAGUGUUGGCUGUCCUGUGUUCAGAAAAACGUAAAAAAAGAAAGAAAACCCGACAAUGGACACGUUCCUGGAUUGCUCGAAGAGGACAGUAUGGGCUGUCAAUCCUCCAAAGAGAACUUGAGGUAAAAUAU